GGGAAGGGCACGCCGGGUGCGAUGCAGUGUGGAGAGUUCCACGGCUAAGGUGCGGGGGCUGGAAUGUGGAGGACGUGUUCAAAGGACAGUUCAAAACUAAAGGCAGAGACCCACAUUCUUAAUUUGGAAAUCAUACCUGUGAUGUCAGUGCUCAAUGACCCUGAGAAGGUGAGGAUCCCUAAAUCCAAGAAUGAAUUUUGCUGACUCCUUCAGGCGGUCCCCACAUCUAAGGCCAUUCAGAGACCCACAGCCCCUGGAGAGAGAGAGAUGGGCCGUUCUGGAGAGCAUUACCACUCUGCAAGCAAAAGGUACACUUCCUACAAGCCUUCCUUAACGCAUGUUGGCUCAUUUCCUACACCACACAUUAGAGUUACUACCACAUGCCCAUUUAAUUUACUUAUAUGGAUUGCAUGUAAGAAUGUUGGAUUGUCAAUGUUAACAAUUUGCAUGACAAUGACAACCAGAGGGACUUGUAUUCUUUUUUUUUUUUUUUUAAUUUUAUGUUUACUUAACUGGCGACAGGGUCAUGGCCGUGGCACGGUAGGCUAAACUUCCCCUAUGGAGC